AGAGUUUGAUCCUGGCUCAGAUUGAACGCUGGCGGCAGGCCUAACACAUGCAAGUCGAACGGUAACAUUUCUAGCUUGCUAGAAGAUGACGAGUGGCGGACGGGUGAGUAAUGCUUGGGAACUUGCCUUUGCGAGGGGGAUAACAGUUGGAAACGACUGCUAAUACCGCAUAAUGUCUUCGGACCAAACGGGGCUUCGGCUCCGGCGCAAAGAGAGGCCCAAGUGAGAUUAGCUAGUUGGUAAGGUAACGGCUUACCAAGGCGACGAUCUCUAGCUGUUCUGAGAGGAAGAUCAGCCACACUGGGACUGAGACACGGCCCAGACUCCUACGGGAGGCAGCAGUGGGGAAUAUUGCACAAUGGGGGAAGCCUGAUGCAGCCAUGCCGCGUGUGUGAAGAAGGCCUUCGGGUUGUAAAGCACUUUCAGUUGUGAGGAAAAGUUAGCAGUUAAUACCUGCUAGCCGUGACGUUAACAACAGAAGAAGCGCCGGCUAACUCCGUGCCAGCAGCCGCGGUAAUACGGAGGGUGCGAGCGUUAAUCGGAAUUACUGGGCGUAAAGCGCACGCAGGCGGUUUGUUAAGCUAGAUGUGAAAGCCCCGGGCUCAACCUGGGAUAGUCAUUUAGAACUGGCAGACUAGAGUCUUGGAGAGGGGAGUGGAAUUCAGGUGUAGCGGUGAAAUGCGUAGAUAUCUGGAGGAACAUCAGUGGCGAAAGGCGACUCCCUGGCCAAAGACUGACGCUCAUGUGCGAAAGUGUGGGUAGCGAACAGGAUUAGAUACCCGGGUAGUCCACACCGUAAACGCUGUCUACUAGCUGUGUGUGCCUUUAAAGCGUGCGUAGCGAAGCUAACGCGCUAAGUAGACCGCCUGGGGAGUACGGCCGCAAGGUUAAAACUCAAAUGAAUUGACGGGGGCCGCACAAGCGGUGGAGCAUGUGGUUUAUUCGAUGCACGCGAAGAACCUUACCUACACUUGACAUGCAAGAAGAACUUUCUAGAGAAUAAGAUGUGCUCGGACUCUGGACAAAGUGCUGCAUGCUGUCGUCAGCUCGUUCUUGAAAUGUGGGUAGGUCCCGCACGAGCACCAUUGUCUUAGUCGCAGCUAGUUGCACUCUUGAAGAACUGCGUACAACUGAGAAGUUGGACACACUCAAGCACACAUGC
rnacentral:rRNA from 1 species